rnacentral:tRNA from 1 species
CCCAGAAUGGUUGAGCGGUUAAGGUGUUGGGCUCAAGCCCCAAUGGGCAUGAGUCUGAAUCUCACUUCUGCUA